CUUAGUGGCGGACGGGUGAGUAACGCGUGAGCAACCUGCCUUUCAGAGGGGGAUAACGUUUGGAAACGAACGCUAAUACCGCAUAAGACCACACUUCCACAUGGGAGAGGGGUCAAAGGAGCAAUCCGCUGAAAGAUGGGCUCGCGUCCGAUUAGAUAGUUGGGGGGGUAACGGCCCACCAAGUCGACGAUCGGUAGCCGGACUGAGAGGUUGAACGGCCACAUUGGGACUGAGACACGGCCCAGACUCCUACGGGAGGCAGCAG
rnacentral:rRNA from 1 species